rnacentral:rRNA from 1 species
AGUGAACGCUGGCGGUAGGCCUAACACAUGCAAGUCGAACGGCAGCACAGGAGAGCUUGCUCUCUGGGUGGCGAGUGGCGGACGGGUGAGGAAUACAUCGGAAUCUACUCUGUCGUGGGGGAUAACGUAGGGAAACUUACGCUAAUACCGCAUACGAACUACGGGUGAAAGCAGGGGACCUUCGGGCCUUGCGCGAUUGAAUGAGCCCGUGUCGGAUCAGCGAGUUGGCGGGGUAAAGGCCCACCAAGGCGACGACCCGUAGCUGGUCUGAGAGGAUGAUCAGCCACGCUGGAACUGAGACACGGUCCAGACUCCUACGGGAGGCAGCAGUGGGGAAUAUUGGACAAUGGGCGCAAGCCUGAUCCAGCCAUACCGCGUGGGUGAAGAAGGCCUUCGGGUUGUAAAGCCCUUUUGUUGGGAAAGAAAUCCAGCUGGCUAAUACCCGGUUGGGAUGACGGUACCCAAAGAAUAAGCACCGGCUAACUUCGUGCCAGCAGCCGCGGUAA